rnacentral:rRNA from 1 species
UACGUAGGGCGCAAGCGUUGUCCGGAAUUAUUGGGCGUAAAGAGCUCGUAGGUGGUCUGUUGCGUCCGCUGUGAAAACCCAGGGCUUAACCCUGGGCUGGCAGUGGAUACGGGCAGACUAGAGGUAGGUAGGGGAGAAUGGAAUUCCCGGUGUAGCGGUGAAAUGCGCAGAUAUCGGGAGGAACACCGGUGGCGAAGGCGGUUCUCUGGGCCUUACCUGACACUGAGGAGCGAAAGCGUGGGGAGCAAACAGG